UUUGAACUCAAUUUGUUCCUUUGUUUGAAUAAUGUUUUUAUUUGAACAAGGGAAAGUAAAAAGCAUGAAGUAUCCCGUACUAGAAGUAUAUAAUAACAUUUGUUUGAAUAACAUUUCUAUUUACUAUAGUUGUAAGACUAAAAGUAUAUAAUAAGCUACCAGACUACAAAAGAAGCUGCCCAUUUAAUGAAUCCAAACUACAUUACCAGGAAGAAAAAUCCUACAAACUCAACCUGCUUGCCUGCCUGUCCUUCCUACCUUGUACUUUGCUAUUGACAAUCUUAUUUCAAGGUUCAAUUACUAACAGAGGCUGCAAAGAUGACAAAAAAGAACGCCUGAGCAACAGAAAACUAAGACAAAAAGGACAAAAACAAUCAAAUUUACUUCAAAUCCACAAUUCAAUACCCAUCCAUCCAUCCAUAUACAUUAUUUGGAAUCAAGGUAGCAAAGAAUACUCACUGUAUCAACGUUGACUGCUUUGCCAUCUUUUACAAGGAUCUCGACUAUGGUUCCUAAUUGAUCAGCCUAUUGAAACAAUGAUUUUUCAUCUACAGUUAGCUACAUAAAGAGACAAUUUGACAAUUUCAAUAAACUAUGGAUGCAACAGAUCAACAUAUUGAUUAAGGGCUGUACAACAGAUUACAGUGAUACUGCAACUGCCAAGUGCAGUAAUUAUGGGCGGUAAUCGCUAAUUGGCCAAACAAACUAAAAUGCAGCUAUCAGGCUGGUUGAUGAGAAUGCUCCAAGAGGAAGAACUAAUAUGGAAUCUAUUUAAUACUAAGUCUCUUUAAGGUUAAAGUUUAAUCAAGCAAGCAUGAAUGUUCAAUAAAAAAAUGGAAAACUAACUGGCCAUUUAAUUGAAACCUGCAGCAGAGUAUCCUUAUAACCAAAAAGUACCAGUCAAGCUUGCUUAAGUUUCUAUUCAGCAUUGACCUUAGGGCCUUACACAUUCAAGAAUCCUAAAGAUCUGAGCCAACUACACGAAUCUUUUCCUUCCAUUUAGCCUCUGUUAAAGCAUUCUCUUGUCCCACACUUAAAUUUCAUUUCUUUUUUAUCUAGAUAUUAAAAAUCAUUUUUCAACAGAAAGCAUCUAAACCAUGCUUAUGACUAAAUUCAUUAAAGCAUCCUUUCUCCCAGUUUAUAUAUGAUUGCAUCAACUUUAAUUUUUUUUUUCUUUAAAGUCAUUCUCAUUCUAUCUUUUUUUUGGGGUAUUUUUGCUUAUAUCCGUUUCAAUGUUUCCAUUUGGAUCACAAGCUACGUGUGCACAUUUUCUCCACCUAAACACAAAAGGCACUGUUACUAUUAAUCUAAAGAAAGUAUUUAACCAAUUUGUAGUACUAACCAAUGGUUUUUCGUAGUACUAAACGUUUCCUCUAUGAAUUUUAAAACACCUAAAGCAGAGACCAAACCUGAAAUCUAUGCCUUUCACAAAGUGGUCUCUGCACAAACUGAUUCCUCUACUAACAAUGGGGAAACUUUCUUCUAAUGGAUCUAAAAUUUUAAUGUUCUCACCCCAUUUCACAAGCCUGUCCAAAAAUUCUGCUGCAAUACUUUCCUGUCAAACAAAUAACAAGCUUUGCCUCGUCAUGAAUUGGAAAUAGAAAAAAAAUAUAACAAAAUCGACGAAGACAUGCUACAGGCAUAGUUCAAGAACUCGUGGUAGCAGAAUCUUUCCCUUUUUGGAUCUAAUGUGUGACUUUGACUUGAAUCAUAAUAACAGUAAUUUUCAUCCAACCACGUUCCCAUACAAGAAGAGUUUUGAAGUUAUGAGUGAGGAGAAAUAUAAUCCUAUUUUAGGAGCUUAUCAUAAAAAAAGAAAAGGUACCCUUUAGGGAGAUGAAGAUGAAGGGCGAAUGCACCCUUGAUUUAGGGAUAAAUGUUGGAAGAAAUCUAGAGUAGAAAUUUGGGGAGAAGAAAGCAGGCUAUUUUGAGGAUAAAUUUUAGGCGUGUGGUGUUGAAUAACAAUUCAAAGGCCCCGCCCGUGAAUACUUAUUACAACAACUGAGGGAAUAUAAGUAUAAUAGCAAAGCUGUAAAAUUACCUAAACGAUGAACCAAACUUGAAAAUUACUAUAACAGGCGGAAUAGGGCAGAAAUAAAAUUGCAAUUCCAUCCAACCAAGCCGUUGAACUUAUCCUUCACUAAAAUCACA
rnacentral:lncRNA from 1 species